rnacentral:rRNA from 1 species
ACUUGAAUUGAAGAGUUUGAUCAUGGCUCAGAUUGAACGCUGGCGGCAGGCUUAACACAUGCAAGUCGAACGGUAGCAGGAGAAAGCUUGCUUUCUUGCUGACGAGUGGCGGACGGGUGAGUAAUGCUUGGGAAUCUGGCUUAUGGAGGGGGAUAACGACGGGAAACUGUCGCUAAUACCGCGUAUUAUCGGAAGAUGAAAGUGCGGGACUGAGAGGCCGCAUGCCAUAGGAUGAGCCCAAGUGGGAUUAGGUAGUUGGUGGGGUAAAGGCCUACCAAGCCUGCGAUCUCUAGCUGGUCUGAGAGGAUGACCAGCCACACUGGAACUGAGACACGGUCCAGACUCCUACGGGAGGCAGCAGUGGGGAAUAUUGCGCAAUGGGGGGAACCCUGACGCAGCCAUGCCGCGUGAAUGAAGAAGGCCUUAGGGUUGUAAAGUUCUUUCGGUAUUGAGGAAGGUUGAUGUGUUAAUAGCACAUCAAAUUGACGUUAAAUACAGAAGAAGCACCGGCUAACUCCGUGCCAGCAGCCGCGGUAAUACGGAGGGUGCGAGCGUUAAUCGGAAUAACUGGGCGUAAAGGGCACGCAGGCGGUUAUUUAAGUGAGGUGUGAAAGCCCUGGGCUUAACCUAGGAAUUGCAUUUCAGACUGGGUAACUAGAGUACUUUAGGGAGGGGUAGAAUUCCACGUGUAGCGGUGAAAUGCGUAGAGAUGUGGAGGAAUACCGAAGGCGAAGGCAGCCCCUUGGGAAUGUACUGACGCUCAUGUGCGAAAGCGUGG